ACAGCAGCAGCCACGGUAACACCAGCAGCCCAAGUGGUGGUCGCGAUUAUUGGGCCUAAAGCGCUCGUAGCCGGGCCGGUAAGUCCCUUGUGAAAUCGGACGGCCUAACCGUUCGGCGUGCAAGGGAUACUGUCGGUCUUGAGGCCGGGAGACGUCCGAGGUACUCCGGGGGUAGCGGUGAAAUGUUCUGAUCCUCGGGGGACCACCGGUGGCGAAGGCGUUCGACAAGAACGGGCCUGACGGUGAGGGGCGAAGGCUAGGGGAGCAAACGGGAUUAGAGACCCCGGUAGUCCCUGUCUCUUAUA
rnacentral:rRNA from 1 species